rnacentral:rRNA from 1 species
GGCCUUGACAUACUAAGAACUUUCCAGAGAUGGAUUGGUGCCUUCGGGAACUUAGAUACAGGUGCUGCAUGGCUGUCGUCAGCUCGUGUCGUGAGAUGUUGGGUUAAGUCCCGCAACGAGCGCAACCCUUUUCCUUAUUUGCCAGCGGGUCAUGCCGGGAACUUUAAGGAUACUGCCAGUGACAAACUGGAGGAAGGCGGGGACGACGUCAAGUCAUCAUGGCCCUUACGGCCAGGGCUACACACGUGCUACAAUGGUCGGUACAAAGGGUUGCUACCUCGCGAGAGGAUGCUAAUCUCAAAAAGCCGAUCGUAGUCCGGAUCGCAGUCUGCAACUCGACUGCGUGAAGUCGGAAUCGCUAGUAAUCGCGGAUCAGAAUGCCGCGGUCGAAUACGUUCCCGGGCCUUGUACACACCGCCCGUCACACCAUGGGAGUUUGUUGCACCAGAAGUAGGUAGUCUAACCGCAAGGAGGACGCUUACCACGGUGUGGCCGAUGACUGGGGUGAAGUCGUAACAAGGUAGGCGUAGAUGA